rnacentral:rRNA from 1 species
UACAGAGGUCUCAAGCGUUGUUCGGAUUCAUUGGGCGUAAAGGGUGCGUAGGCGGCGCGGUAAGUCGGGUGUGAAAUCUCGGAGCUUAACUCCGAAACUGCAUUGGAUACUGCCUUGCUGGAGUACUGGAGAGGGAACUGGAAUUUACGGUGUAGCAGUGAAAUGCGUAGAGAUCGUAAGGAAGGCCAGUGGCGAAGGCGAGUUCCUGGACAGUUACUGACGCUGAGGCACGAAGGCCAGGGGAGCAAACGGG